CCACAUCAGUAGGUAGUGGUAAUACGCGUGUGUUUGCCAACUGCCGAUAACAUCAAUAACAACGAAGAAGAAAAAGACGAAGAAGAAAAGGAAGAACCAGAAGAAUAAGGAGAAAACGCCAGUUCUGCUAUGAAUAAUUUGUAGAAUUAUAAUUCUAAUAUGAAUUAGAAUUAUAAUAUGUCUCUUGCGGCUAUGGCAUGGAGGGCUUAGAGUAACUGUUUAACAAGAAGGAAUAACACUUGAACCCCUACGUUUUUAUACCAGCUAAAAAUUAUAUUUUCAAAAAUAAAAUGUUUAGCUCAAGUAGCAUUAGCCAGCUAGCCAGGAAAACGAAAGCGGAAAUGUUGGUGGGAUUUCUCUCUUUCACCAACGAUGACUGGUUUUCAAUUUGGUUUUGAAUGCGGUGCGCGGUGAACUGCAUGGUUGUAACCAUCUGCAUGAGUUUAAGUUUAAAUAGGUUUUUCGUUUAAAUAUUUUGGUUGUAGGACUUUUACGUAAUAUGAAUCGUGAUAUAUUUAUGUCUAUUGUUUCUUUUGCAACGAGAAUAAGCGGUGGGAGACAAGAGAUUACUGUUAGCUGACUACUAACUAAACCUGGUAACAUUAAGGUUGGUUUGGUUUUUAACUUUUUAUCUUAAUAUUAGCCAGUUUAACUAUGUUGUAUACACAUCAAUAACUUUGGUUAUAACCCAUCUAGUCAGUUCUGUGUGGGAUUAAGCGUUUAUAGUGUUUGUUAGCUUUUGUGUUACAGCGUCAGAGGCGUUUGUUUAGCAACUGUUUGACAUGUAGGUCCAGCUGAGCCCGAACCCGCAUAGGGAUGAAUUCCGGGAGGCUCCAAGUCAAAAUAAAACGAGUUUGCGCAAGAAAAAGGUCACGGGACUUUUUAAAGACGCACCUGACACCUGCCCGAAAGAUAGGAGGGGGUGUUGGAUCACCGCGAUGUCCCCCCAACAGGACGAUCGACGCCACCAUGACUGACAAUCCAGCUGUGGAGUACUGCAGCGAUAGCGAGGAUUUGUUCGGUGACUAUGACAGCAUCCUGGAGGACAGCUCUCUACUGGCGAAGCUGGACGAUGCCGAAGAAAAUGAAAGACGGCGAGCUGCCAACGAGCAGAACUUUACAGCUCUGCAACCGCCAAAGGAUAUUGUCUGGAAACGAUCCUGUGAGGAUUCGCUCACUAACUCCAUCCUGGACGAGCUCAGAGAUGAGCCCUUUAAGGACUUACCGUGCAGCCAGCUGCAGUUUCAAGAACAAAUCCAAGAACAAUCAAAGAGGAGCAGACUGCAGGAUGGAGACAAAACAUCCACACCUUUGCAAAGUGCCAAAAGGACAACUGAAGUCAGACCAAAGACAGACAUGGAGGAUGAAACCAGGAGAGACAGCAGAGCUCGGAGGAGCGUAGCUGACCAGCUGAAGAAGACGAUGUUGGGGAAUGCAGCAGCUCCUGCCACCAUUUCACGGACUGCAGUGCUGAAAGAAGCAGUGGUUUCUGAGGAAAUAAGUGUCGCCAUGCAGGCCAUGGAGACGAUAUCUGCCGAGACGCCCGACCUGGGGCCGUUCUUCGGACUGCCCAGCAAAGUAAAGGAGCUUAUGUACAAACUGAGAGGAAUCCAGAAGUUAUACGACUGGCAGGAGACGUGCUUGAACUUGGACUGCAUUCAGCAGAGGAAGAACCUAAUCUACUCUCUCCCCACCAGCGGAGGGAAGACUCUGGUGGCAGAGAUCCUCAUCCUCAGAGAGCUGCUGUGCAGGAAGAAGGACUGUCUGUUCAUCUUACCAUACAUAUCUCUGGUGCAGGAGAAGGUGCGUGGGUUGGCGAGCUUUGGCCUGGAGCUGGACUUCAUGGUGGAGGAGUACGCCGGCAGCAAGGGCAAGUUUCCUCCAGUGAAGAGAAAAAGCAAAACAUCCCUGUACGUCGCCACGAUAGAGAAAGCCCACAGCCUCGUCAACUCCCUGAUAGAGACCGGCAGGCUGGAUAACCUGGGGCUGGUGGUGGUGGAUGAGCUUCACAUGCUGGGUGACGGCAGCAGAGGGGCUGUGAUUGAAAUGACUCUGGCCAAAGUUCAGUACAUGAGCAAGACGGCUCAGAUUAUUGGAAUGAGCGCCACUUUGGGAAACAUUAAGGACCUGCAGACGUUUCUGAGGGCAGAAAAUUACACAAACGACUUCAGGCCUGUUCAGUUGAAAGAAUUUGUUAAACUCAACGACACCAUUUGUGAAGUCGACACAAAGGAGGAGAGCUGCUUCAGAUUCUCACGUCUGCUCAACUUUAAAUACUCCAGCGCGAUGCAGAAGAUCGACCCAGAUCACAUCAUCGCUCUGGUGACUGAAAUCAUCCCAACACACUCCUGCCUGGUCUUCUGUCCCACCAAGAAGAACUGUGAGAAUGUAGCAGGGAUGAUCUGCAAAUACUUGAAGAACGAGUUCCUGCAACACCGUGAGGCUGAGAAGGCUGUCCUCCUCAGAGAGCUGAGGGACAGCGGAAACGGCUCAGUGUGUCCGGUCCUUAGGAGGACCGUGCAUUACGGCGUGGCCUACCACCACAGUGGACUGACCUCCGAAGAGAGGAAACUGGUGGAGGAGGCCUACUCCAACGGUGUGCUCUGCCUCCUUACAUGCACCUCCACCCUGGCUGCAGGGAUUAACCUUCCUGCCCGCAGGGUGAUCCUACGCUCGCCAUACAUCGCAACUGACUUCCUGAAGAGGAGCCAGUACAAGCAGAUGGUGGGGCGGGCCGGUCGAGCCGGGAUCGACACUGUGGGGGAGAGCAUCCUCAUCCUGCAGGAGAAGGACAGGAACAUGGCCAAAGCUCUAGUGUGCGCUCCAAUGGAAAACUGCUACAGCAACCUGAUGCAGGAUGAUGGAAAAGGCAUCCUGAGUCUCAUCCUCUCUCUAAUUGGAUUGAAUAUCACCACGUCACUGCAGCAGAUUCAGGACUUCCUGCGCGGGACCCUGCUGUUUGUGCAGCAGCAGCAGCUGUGUGUGGACAGGAGUUUGGGGGAUGUUGUGCAGCAGUGUGUCCACACGCUGAAGGAGAAAGACCUCAUCACCAUCAGAGAGACAGACUCUCCAAUGCUGCAGAUCACCAAGCUGGGGAGAGCCACUUACAAAGGAUCUGUGGAUCUGACCUACUGUGAUCUUCUAUACAAGGACUUGUGUAAAGGUCUGGAGGGUUUGCUGCUCAACAGUUACCUGCACCUGGUCUACCUGGUGACUCCGUAUGACCUCAUCGCUCAGUGCAAACCUGACUGGAUGAUCUACUUCAGACAGUUCACCCUGCUGUCCGCCACAGAGCAGAAGAUGUCUGCAGUCGUUGGAGUUCCUGAAAGUUUUGUGGCAAGAAAAGCAGCAGGGCAAACGGUGAAAAAGGAUGUGAACCUGGUGGUGGUGAACAGGAUGUACCUCGCUCUGGUUCUCUUCUCUCUGCUGAAGGAAACCAACGUUUGGACCGUGGCCGACCGCUUCCAGCUGAGCCGAGGUUUCGUCCAGACGCUGCUCAGCUCUGCCUCCGCCUUCUGCUCCUGCGUGAUGCAUUUCACCGAGUUAGUUCAUCUCAGCUGUGUCUGUUCAGGAGCUGGAGGAGUUAUGGCCAUUCAAAGCUCUGCUCACGGAGUUGACGCGGCGUCUCAGUUACUGCGUGAAGGCGGAGCUGAUUCCUCUGAUGGAGGUUGCCGGAGUCACAGAGGUGAGGGCUAAGCAGCUGUACAACGCCGGUUACAAGACGCCAACUCACCUGGCUAACGCCGACCCCGCCGUCCUCUGCAGGAUGAUAGAGAACCUCUACAAGAAACAAGCCAACCUCAUGGUGGCCUCGGCCAAAAUGCUUGUGAAGGA